rnacentral:rRNA from 1 species
UACGAAGGGGGCUAGCGUUGUUCGGAAUUACUGGGCGUAAAGCGCGUGUAGGCGGGUCUUUAAGUCAGGGGUGAAAUGCCAAGGCUCAACCUUGGAACUGCCUUUGAUACUGGAGAGCUCGAGUCUGGAAGAGGUGAGUGGAACUGCGAGUGUAGAGGUGAAAUUCGUAGAUAUUCGCAAGAACACUAGUGGCGAAGGCGGCUCACUGGUCCGGUACUGACGCUGAGGUGCGAAAGCGUGGGGAGCAAACAGG